rnacentral:misc_RNA from 1 species
CGCCGUGUAUCUCCGUAAUCGCUAUGAACAGAAGUGGUAGGUGAAACGAGGUGUCCGAACGAAUGACUCAGGAGCCCGAGAGGGAGGCCCGCGCCCGGGAGGCGACGAGCGCCGAAGAAGCCCCCGUCGUAGACCGCGACGGCCAAGUGGAGGCCCAGCAGCUCGAGGCGCUGGGCAAGAAGCCAGAAGGCGCCCGUGAGGCGAUCUUCGAGCUCGACAAGGUCGGCGUUGCCUAUGGUGGCGUGCCCGCCGUGCGCGAGGUCGACUUCCCGAUCUACCAACGGGAGAUCACCGCGCUGAUCGGCCCCUCAGGCUGCGGCAAGAGCACGCUGAUCCGCUGCCUCAACCGCAUGAACGACCUCAUCCCCGCCGCGAGCGUGACGGGCAAGGUCAACUACCACGGCCA